rnacentral:rRNA from 1 species
UACGUAGGGGGCUAGCGUUGUCCGGAAUCAUUGGGCGUAAAGCGCGUGUAGGCGGUCCGGUAAGUCCGCUGUGAAAGUCGGGGGCUCAACCCUCGGACGCCGGUGGAUACUGUCGGGCUUGAGUACGGAAGAGGCGAGUGGAAUUCCCGGUGUAGCGGUGAAAUGCGCAGAUAUCGGGAAGAACACCCGUGGCGAAGGCGGUUCUCUGGGACGGUACUGACGCUGAGACGCGAAAGCGUGGGGAGCGAACAGG